AUACAAUAGAGACGCUCCAAUCUUGUGAGAAGGCUGUUGACUGGGCAAAGUCUGGGAAAUUACGCAGCAAGACAUCGACGAAGCCAAACUUUCUGUCUUCUCAACCGUAGAUGCUCCUGUCACUCCUUCAGACAAAGGAAUGGACCACUUCCUGUACGGCCUCUCAGAUGAGAUGAAGCAGGACCACAGGGAGCAGCUCUUCACCCUCAGCCACGACAAGCUCCUGGCCGUGAGCGAUAGGUACCUCGGCACUGGGAAGAGCACGCAUGGCCUGGCCAUACUCAGACCCGAGAACCCCAAAAUCGCCAAGGACCCAUCCUGGAUCAUCAGAUGAGCAGCCCUGGUGCCCCCAACUGUGCAGGAGCCCCUGAGACAAUAGGCCUGUAGAGCUGAAUAUGAAAAGUCAGAAAUGCUACUGCUUUUUCCAAGAAUAU